rnacentral:rRNA from 1 species
CGACCGGCGCACGGGUGAGUAACACCGUAUGCAACCUGGCCGUCACAGGUGGAUAACCGGAAGAAAUUCCGACUAAUACAGCAUAACACUCCUGAGGGACAUCCUUCGGGAGUCAAAGGAGGCAACUCCGGUGACGGAUGGGCAUGCGGCGCAUUAGGUAGUUGGUAGGGUAACGGCCUACCAAGCCGACGAUGCGUAGGGGUUCUGAGAGGAAGGUCCCCCACAUUGGAACUGAGACACGGUCCAAACUCCUACGGGAGGCAGCAG